GUCCAGACUCCUACGGGAGGCAGCAGUGGGGAAUAUUGCACAAUGGGGGAAACCCUGAUGCAGCAACGCCGCGUGAGUGAAGAAGUAUUUCGGUAUGUAAAGCUCUAUCAGCAGGGAAGAAGAUGACGGUACCUGAAUAAGAAGCCCCGGCUAACUACGUGCCAGCAGCCGCGGUAAUACGUAGGGGGCAAGCGUUAUCCGGAUUUACUGGGUGUAAAGGGAGCGCAGACGGCAGUGCAAGUCUGGAGUGAAAGCCCGGGGCCCAACCCCGGAACUGCUCUGGAAACUGUGCGGCUAGAGUGCUGGAGGGGCAGGCGGAAUUCCUAGUGUAGCGGUGAAAUGCGUAGAUAUUAGGAGGAACACCAGUGGCGAAGGCGGCCUGCUGGACAGUAACUGACGUUGAGGCUCGAAAGCGUGGGGAGCAAACAGGAUUAGAUACCCGAGUACG
rnacentral:rRNA from 1 species